rnacentral:rRNA from 1 species
GGGUUGUGAGGUUAAGCGACUAAGCGUACACGGUGGAUGCCCUGGCAGUCAGAGGCGAUGAAGGGCGUGCUAAUCUGCGAUAAGCGCCGGUAAGGUGAUAUGAACCGUUAUAACCGGCGAUACCCGAAUGGGGAAACCCAGUGUGAUUCGUCACACUAUCAUUAACUGAAUCCAUAGGUUAAUGAGGCGAACCGGGGGAACUGAAACAUCUAAGUACCCCGAGGAAAAGAAAUCAACCGAGAUUCCCCCAGUAGCGGCGAGCGAACGGGGAGGAGCCCAGAGCCUGAAUCAGCAUGUGUGUUAGUGGAAGCGUCUGGAAAGGCGCGCGAUACAGGGUGACAGCCCCGUACACAAAAGCGUAUGUGCUGUGAGCUCGAUGAGUAGGGCGGGACACGUGGUAUCCUGUCUGAAUAUGGGGGGACCAUCCUCCAAGGCUAAAUACUCCUG